rnacentral:rRNA from 1 species
AUUGAACGCUGGCGGCAUGCCUUACACAUGCAAGUCGAACGGUAACAGGUCUUCGGAUGCUGACGAGUGGCGAACGGGUGAGUAAUACAUCGGAACGUGCCUAGUAGUGGGGGAUAACUACUCGAAAGAGUGGCUAAUACCGCAUGAGAUCUACGGAUGAAGGCAGGGGAUCGCAAGACCUUGUGCUACUAGAGCGGCCGAUGGCAGAUUAGGUAGUUGGUGGGAUAAAAGCUUACCAAGCCGACGAUCUGUAGCUGGUCUGAGAGGACGAUCAGCCACACUGGGACUGAGACACGGCCCAGACUCCUACGGGAGGCAGCAGUGGGGAAUUUUGGACAAUGGGCGCAAGCCUGAUCCAGCAAUGCCGCGUGCAGGAUGAAGGCCUUCAGGUUGUAAACUGCUUUUGUACGGAACGAAAAGCCCUGGGUUAAUACCCUGGGGUCAUGACGGUACCGUAAGAAUAAGCACCGGCUAACUACGUGCCAGCCGCCGCGGUAAUAC